CCGCACCCCCUCCACAAAAAAACUCCUCCUUCCUUUUCCAAAAACGGACACCAGCUUCUCACCAUUUUCAGCCAUUGAAUCUCCAUUAAUUACCUCACAAGCUCCAAAAAUAAGCAGCCAUUUUCUCCAUAAAUCCAAUCAAUAAAGCAACCUUGAACAACCCCAUCUUCUUCCAUAAAUAGCCAUGGAAUUCCUGCUGAAAAGAACUCCAAAAGAACUACAAUGAAACACCUAAAGUCCAGCUCUAAAAACACCAUUAAAAUAGCCCCUUAACCACCCUAAACCACCUCCUCUUUAUCCAAAAAAUGCAGCCUAAAGCUGCUGCAAAUCCAACUCCGCGACAGCUUCAAAACGCAGCAAACAGAGCUGCAAAAUACCACCCAAAAUCCAGCAGUAGAAAGCAGCAAAAUCAGCUGCGAAUCUGCUAAAAAAUCUGCAGCGAAACGAGCUACGAAAUAGCUCGAAAACAUGCCAAAACCUGGCUGAAAACCAACACCAAACAGUCCCCUUUUGCAUAGAAAAAUUGCAGCUCCAAGGCUGAGUCGUCGAGUUCGCCGUCACUGGUUUCCGAUCGUGGUCGUUGGCAUUUGGUCCGUCUUUUGAGUUGCAAAGCUUUAAAAUUCGGAUUCAGCAAUAAAGGUAUGUUUCUUUUACACAUGUAUGGUGUCUUCCUAGUCUGAUUCAUGGAUUUUGUUUGAAUGAUCAUUUCAUCAAGUUUAUAUAUCUAUGCGAGUGAUGAAUCCAUAACUCGAACUGAGAUUACUUACAAGUUCAAUUUUGUUUUGCCAGUAUUUGAGGAAGUUUGGGAAUUCACUAUUAUUGUUAUCAUAUAUUAGCAUGUUGUUUGGUCGUUAUCUUCAUUAGUUAAGCCAUUAUUUUCAUGCUAUUUGGUUAGCUGCUUUUUUGAGUUAGAUGAAUAAUGAUGAAAUUGGAGCUAAAGCUAUUCUUUUUACCUUUGAAUGUUUGAGGCCUUAAGUAGUUUUGUUGCAUAGCUUCGCUAAUUUUUAUUUAGUUAGCUUGAGUUUUAUUUAUUGACUUCUUGUUUAAUUAGAAAACUUAUGAAUUUACAUGUUAAAAAUAUUGAUUUAAGUUUGGUACAGUCACAUGAAUAAGGUGGGGAGCAUCAUCCUCAUAUUUCUUAAAGUAUCAUUUGUGCUUAAUAAGUGUUGAAUUUUGUUUUUUUUUCUCUUGUAUAAUUUAUUUAAUUUGUAUGGAUGCAGAAGAUAGAGGUGCCCCAUUAAGUGGGUUGUGGUUUUAAUUGGGUGUAAUGCAUUUGAAAAUGUUAGGAUUAUUUAGGCGCUCCAAUUUUAUCAUCGUGAUUAUGUAUAUGUUCGCGUAACAUAAUUAUGAUUCUAAAACCAAUUUGGAGUAUGCGUUCGCGCAACUUCGAUCAAAUCUUCUCGUAAUAUUAAAAUGAAUUUUCAUAGGCUAUUAAUUUAAUUUAAUUUAAUUUAUAUAGUUUGAGGUGUGCCAUCUACAGUUUAAUCAUUCAUGGCCCUCAUAUUAAUAACCUAGAUAUAAAAAGUGACAAAUGUUUGCAGUUUGCUUUAGGCACAUUUAAUAUACUAUCGUGGUUGUACACACGUCCGCGUGACAUGAUUGUGAUUUUUAAAAACCAAACCGGAGUAUGCAUUCCUGCAACUUUGGCCAAAUUUUUCUCAAUAAUAAUAAAGUGUUAUUAAUUGUGGACACGUCCGCGUGACAUGAUUCUUGACGUGCCAAACAAAUGGGUACACGUACACGUGACCCAUUUCAAGAUAAUUUUUCUAAGUUUAAAAGCGGUAAGUGGUAAAGGCAUAUAGGUUCUAAAAUCAGUAAUUAUAUAAUUUUGAUAAGCCAAGUAUGAUCAAAGCGACCGUGCUAGAACCACGGAACUCGGGAGUGCCUAACACCUUCUCUCAGGUUAACAGAAUUUCUUACCCGGAUUUCUGCGUUCGCAGACCGUAAUUAGAGUCAACUCCCUCGAUUCGGGAUUUCUACCGGUGACUUGGAACACCAUAAAUUAUUCCAAGUGGCGACUCUGAUUUUUAUAAUUAAUCCCGUUUCGAUUGUCACUUAAAUUGGAAAAAACUCCCCUAUACCCUUCCGUUUGGUAGGAAAAAGGAGGUGUGACAACACUAUUUCUGAAAUAAGUAAAUGAAACAGGAUAAAGGGAUAGAGGGAGACGACAGGGCCUGCGGACGCCUGCAGGACUACCUUAGAUCUCCAUGUGGACUGAAGGUAGCCACCCAAGCUACGGUCCAAAAGUUGCUGCUCCGGGAUCUGCACACAGUACAGAGUGUAGUAUCAGCACAACCGACCCCAUGUGCUGGUAAGUGCCUAGCCUAACCUCGGCGAAGUAGUGAUGAGGCUCGGACCAGACUACCAAAUAAACCUGUGCAAUUUAACUAUAUAUAGUGGAACGGAAGAACAAUAAUAUACAGUCAAGUAUGGGAGGGGAGACAUGCUGCGGGGAACUAUCAAUUUAGAAUAGAAAGACAACGGGUAAUUAAAAGGAACAACAUAUCUUAGAUAUCAAUAAAUAAAUCAGGAAUCAAUAAGUGCACGGCAUCACCCUUCGUGCUUUUACUCUCGUCCUCACCAAAGCAAUCAAGUAAUGAAAAUGUGUACGGCAUCACCCUUCAUGCUUUUACUCUCGUCCUCACCAUAUAAUCGGCAUAGGAUUGUACAUCGUGCGGCACAACAUCACCCUUCGUGCUUUACACUCUUCCUCACAAAUCAUACACGGCAUCACCCUUCGUGCUUUAAUACUCACUCACUAAAACAAUGCACGGCAUCACCCUUUGUGCUUUAACACUCUUCCUCACCCAAACAACAAUCACAAAUAAUAGGGCAAUAGAAUAAAUGAAAUUACAAUAAGAAUUCCGACAAAGGAAUAAUAUCAAAAGAAACAUCAACAUUCUGGCAAGGGAGAUAACAUUAAAAGCAACAAUAUCCCAGCAAGGGAGGCCACGUAAUAAUUUUCUUCUUUUUCUCACUUUUACUUCACAACUCACUUCAUAAUUUAGGUCAAUGCUUUAAAAGGUUCAAUUACCACUUAUACUUUCACAUUUCAUUAUACAACUUAAGCCAACGCUCCUCAAAUGUUCAAAUGUCAUAAUUACUUCCACAAACUUUUCUCAACAAUAGAAAUCAUUACCAAAUCAUGAAUAAUACAACGAAGUCAUAAUAAUCACAAUAUAAGACUCACGGGUAUGCUUGACACCAAUGUAUAGAUACUCGUCACCAUGCCUACACGUCGUACUCAACAAAUACCAUAUAUCAAAUAGAAUUCGACUCCCAAUCCCUUAAGCUAAGGUUAGACCAAAUACUUACCUCGAACUUCCACGGCCAACUCAAGCCUCAAACACCGCUUUUCCUUUUGAAUUUGGCUCCAAAUCAAUUAUAUCUAGACAUAAUUGACUUAAUAAAUCAAUAAACGCUAAACAAUUCAAUUCCAAUGCUUAAUUAUAGAUUUCCUAUCAUUCUUCCCAAAAUAUCAAAAAUCGACCCCGGGCCCGCUUGGUCAAAACACGAGAUUUGGACCAAAACCUGAUCAGCCAUUCACCCACGAGCCCGAAUAUGUAUUUAGUUUCAAAAUCCGACCCCAAAAUGGGUCUAAAUUCCAUUUAUACAAAAAGCCCUAACUCUACCCAAAUCCCUAAUUUUCUACCCUUAAGAACAUGAUUUAGGCCUAGAAAUCUAAUGGAUGUUAAUAGAAAUUGAAGAAAUGAGUCUAAUAUUACAUACCUAUGGAUUUGUGGUGAAGUUCUCUUUCAGAAAUAGUCCAAUUUGGAGUUUGGAAGAAGAAGUUAUGAAUUUUGGGUUUAAUGUUGUAUGUGUUCUAUUACUGUUUAAAUGACUGGGCAAAAUUGGUCUCUGCGAUCGCGGACAAGGGUAAGCGAUCGCAUAGGAUAAGGGGGACUAGGCAUCGCGAUCGCGAAGUAGGGAUUGCGAUCACAUAGAGGAAAAAAUGGGUUCCCUUUCCAGACUUGGUUUAACCCAUUGCGAUAGCGGGAGAAGUAAUGCAAUCGCAUAGAACAACUGGUGACCCCCCAGACUUAACUCUACGCGAUCGCGGAAGAAGAUAUGCGAUCACAUAUUACAAAAAUGGACCCCCUAAGAUUUACACUAUGCAAUCGCAAACUUCCCUAUGUGAUCGCAUAGCACAAGGACCUAGACACCAGCAGACAUGAGUUUCUGCAAUUUUCCUAAGUUCAAAAACCUUCCGAGACCUAUCUGAAACUCACCCGGGCCCUCGGGGAUCCAAACCAAACAUGUACACUACCUCAAAAACACCCUAUGGACUUAGUCGUGCAUUCAAAUCACCAAAAAUAACAUCAACAACUAUGAAUUUAGCAUCAAAAUCAUGAAAUCACUUAAGAACUUCAAAUUUUCCACUUUUCUCAAAUAUGGUCCGAUUCAAGUCAUUUCAAAUCCGUUUCUUACCAUAUUUCACUGACUCAACUUAAACCACAUAUAAGACCUGUACCGGGCUCCAAAACCAUAAUACGGGCCCGAUACCAUCAAAUUUUAAAUGCAUUUCAUUUCCAAAACUCAUAAAUAAUUCCAAAAAAUAAUUUUCUUUAAAAUUUUAUUUCUCGGUCUUGGGACCUCGAAAUUCGAUUUCGGGCAUACGCCCAAGUCUCAUAUUUUCUUGCGGACCCUUCGGGACCGUCAAAUCACGAGUCUGGGUCCGUUUACCCAAAUAUUGACCGAAGUCAACUUAAAUUCAUUUUAAAGUCAAAAUUCAUCAUUUUUCACAAAUUUUCACAUAAUGGCUUUCCGGCUACGCGCCCGGACUGCGCACACAAAUCGAGGUGAGACAGAAAGAGGUUUUUAAGGUCUCGGAAUGCAAAAUUUAUUUUUAAAACAAGUGAUGACCUUUUGGGUCAUCACAUCUGUAAUCCAGUAGAAUAGUUGAUGAUGAGAUAGUCAGCAGAGUAUUAUGCUGGACUAUGGAUUUGUAAAGACUGAUCUUUGGUGAUUAAUACAAAAGAAGUUAAUUACCAAAAAAAGGUUUACCGAAUACAAUAAUUAAACACAAAAUCAAUAUGAAUCCUAAAAAUGAUAUAUUCUAUUUAAUUUUUAAAUUACCGAUAAAUACCUUUUCAAAUUCGAAAAGAUAUAAGAGUUUAAUAGAUCUUGACAUAUGAAUAUGGAAGAAAAAAAUUGACGCAUUUCAAUAACACUUGAUAAGAUAGUAAUGAUACAUACCAUUAUUUAAAGUAAGUAACAAUAGGAUGCACUUCAUUGUUUAUUAAAUAUUGCAUCCCAUGAGAGGAUCACAAAUAUUUCUAGAUAUUUUUGAAGAAAAUUCUAUAUAAAGUCUUAAAAGUAUAAAUAAAAUUAUAUAUUUAUAUGUCGGUUUGGUUCGUAUUUUUUACUCAGUACCAAACUAAAACCAAACCUAAUCGAAUGUUUAAUUGAUUUCAUUUGACUUUUCGGUUUGGUGUGGUUUUUCGAUUUGAUUUGAACUCCCCUAAUUGUAAGCACAGACUUAUAAGCUUGCUCUUCUAAAAUUUCAUCUGCAAAAAUGACAGCAGCUGGGCUACAAUUAUGCAACUCAAUCAGUUUUAAUGUGAGAAUAUCUAUACGAAUCUCCUCUAGUUUAUAGAAAUACUGCAAGAUUACAAACUCAAGUCUACGAAGAUUAUCACUGGAGUAAAAUUGAUUUAUAUUAAAUGAUCAAAUGAUAGUGCAACACGUGGAAUCGGAGACAGGUAGAAGACAAAUCAAGUAAGAACCAAUACUGAUAAACAACAACAGCAAUUGCCAUCGGAUAGACCCCGAAGGGAGCACAAUCAUCAUGAACGGAUCCAAUAUUUGCCACCAGAUGGCAUUCAAUGAAGAACGUUCCUUAGUAUUAAAUGGACAGCCGUUGCAGGAAAUAUUUGCAUUCAUGACAUGCCGUGACAUAUUCAUCAAUGGCCCUUUUAUUGUGAUUUAAGAGAGGCUUGAUCCUAGGAUCUUGUUUCCCUACGUAUAACUAUAAAUAGUAGACUUAACAGCUAUUGUAAGACACGAAAUCUUUGACAAAACUUAUGCUAUUCUAUUCUGAAACUAAAUAAAAUAACUUUACCUACUCUUUACACUAUUCUUAUUUCUGUCCUCGGAGGCAUUGCUCCUGGAAUCAGGCUUGUCAUUUUCUUUGAUUUUAAUCACUAGGUAUUAUUUUUAAUCUAGUUUAUUUAUAAUUUUGGAUCGAAUCAAUUCACUUUUCUAUUAAUCGCGUAACAAAUUCAACUGUACCAUUUUACCGGCAAACAGUUUGGCCCCGCCGUAAGGCUUAGACAGAUGCGUAAUUGAGUUGAUCCUUACGUUUAUUACUAACUCGUUUGAUUCAUUGUUUCUUAGCAAGAAAUUGAAUAUGGAAGCUAAAGAUGUCAAUAUCGCACACAACGUUGGGGCACAUGAAAAUCUGCCCCAACACGAGGAUUCAAUCAGUGACGCUCACAACGAGGGGGACGACGCGACUUCGGCC
rnacentral:lncRNA from 1 species